UACGGCUGAACCAGCAACUUGAAGGAAUGAAGAAUCGAAGUCAUGCUCGGUUACCAUGUUAAUGGAAUGUGGGGUGUUUACUAAUAAUUCGGGGUAAAUAUUGAUAAUGACAUAUUUUGCUUCUAGGUCUUGACCAACUCAUGUGCCAGCAGUCGCGGUAAGACAUGGAAGGCCAGCGUUAUUCAUCUUUAUUAGGUUUAAAGGGUACCUAAACGGUAAAUAUCUGCUUUUUAUCUGAAGGAUAAUUGUACUUAUAUACUAGAGUUUUAUGUAAGGAGGUUCCGAUUAGUGAGUGUAGGGAUAAAAUCUGUUGAUACCACUUUACACUGGUUUAGGUGAAACAGGGUCUUAUGUAAAACUGACGUUGAGGACGAAGCUCAGAAAAGAAACAGGAUUAGUUMCCCCAGUACUAAGAGCAGMCMAUGAUGAAUSCCAUAUGUAAGAWAUUUUUNUAUAUAAAAGAAAGUGUAAGCAUUUCNCCUCAAGAGUAAUAUGGCANCAUAUAAACUGAAAUCAUUAGGCCGUUUCUGGAAUUCGUAGUGAAGUAUGUUAUUUAAUUUGAUGAUCCGCAAAGGNCCUUACCACUAGUGUGUAUAGUAAUAUAUUUAUAUAUUACGGACAAGCGUUGCACGGCUGUCUACAGUUGAUAUCGUGAGAAAUGAUUAACUUCAUUAAUCGACGUAAUCCCUGAUUUUAUUUAGAAUAAAAUGUUAAUUUUGGCAGAAGAACCCUAGCUGAAUAUAAUAAAAGGGAGUAUGACAAGUCAUCAUGGCCAAACAGACAAAAUGACAGUACUGUGGGCGAUAGACGUGCCACAUCUAAUCUAUACAAAAAGAUGCAAAAUCGUGAGAUUUAGCUAAUCUUUAAAA
rnacentral:rRNA from 1 species